GGGUCAGUAGGUUGGUCGUGCCACCGGUACGUACUGGUCUCACUGAUUCCUCCUUCCUGAAGAACCGUAAUGCCAUUAAUUUGGUGUUGCGGGAAAACAGGACUGUUACUUUGAAAAAAUUAGAGUGUUUAAAGCAAGCUAACGCUUGAAUACAUUAGCAUGGAAUAAUGAAAUAGGACGAUCGAUCCUAUUUUGUCGGUUUCUAGGAUUGACGUA
rnacentral:rRNA from 1 species